rnacentral:rRNA from 1 species
GACGAACGCUGGCGGCGUGCCUAACACAUGCAAGUCGAACGGAGAAUCAGCAAUGAUUCUUAGUGGCGAACGGGUGAGUAACGCGUAGACAACCUGCCUUCUAGAUGGGGACAACACUGCGAAAGUGGUGCUAAUACCGUAUGUUGUAAUAAGCCUGCAUGGGCUUGAUACUAAAGGUGGCCUCUGACAUAAGCUACCACUAGAAGAUGGGUCUGCGUCUGAUUAGCUAGUUGGUGAGGUAAUGGCUCACCAAGGCGAUGAUCAGUAGCCGGUCUGAGAGGAUGAACGGCCACACUGGGACUGAGACACGGCCCAGACUCCUACGGGAGGCAGCAGUGGGGAAUCUUCCGCAAUGGACGAAAGUCUGACGGAGCAACGCCGCGUGAGUGAAGAAGGUUUUCGGAUCGUAAAGCUCUGUCUUUGAGGACGAAUGUGUCUAAUGUGAAUAAUGUUAGAUAAUGACGGUACUCGAGGAGGAAGCCACGGCUAACUACGUGCCAGCCGCCGCGGUAAGAC